GACGAACGCUGGCGGCGUGCUUAACACAUGCAAGUCGAACGGUAAGGCCCUUCGGGGUACACGAGUGGCGAACGGGUGAGUAACACGUGGGUGAUCUGCCCUGCACUUCGGGAUAAGCCUGGGAAACUGGGUCUAAUACCGGAUAGGACCACUGCCUGCAUGGGUGGUGGUGGAAAGCUUUUGCGGUGUGGGAUGGGCCCGCGGCCGAUCAGCUUGUUGGUGGGGUGAUGGCCUACCAAGGCGACGACGGGUAGCCGGCCUGAGAGGGUGACCGGCCAAGCUGGGCCUGGGAUACGGCCCAGACUCCUACGGGAGGCAGCAGUGGGGAAUCUUGCACAAUGGGCGCAAGCCUGAUGCAGCGACGCAGCGUGAGGGAUGACGGCCUUCGGGUUGUAAACCUCUUUCAGCACCGACGAAGCGCAAGUGACGGUAGGUGCAGAAGAAGGACCGGCCAACUACGUGCCAGCCGCCGCCGUAACAC
rnacentral:rRNA from 1 species